ACCCGUGCUGUCCAUACACUUGAGAGGCUGAGCUCUGCUGUGGAGAGAGGCCCCGCUCCUAGGACACGCAGCUGGGCCUCACAAGGGAACUGUGUAUGUACAAAGGCCGACUUCUGACAGCCAACCUGAUGUGCCAAGGGCUCAGGGUUCAGCAGUGCUGCCUCUGAAUCCCUGAGCCACAGCUGCAAUAGCCAAGAAUACCAUAGGCUUCCACAACCCAAACAUGUUCUGUGGGGACCAAAGAGAAACUGUGAGUGCCCAGCCUCCUGAACCCUGCCCUAAGCCAGAAGUCACCUGCCUAUGGGUGCCCAAGACACCUCAGGAACAUUGUGGAUCAGUCUCUGUUACCUCCUGGGUAACCGGUGGAGGUAAGUGAUCUCUCAGUCCUGGCACCACUAGACAUGUGGCCCAACACUGUACGCACCACCUUAGGUGACCGCCUGUAUUCAGGCCUCCGUUUCUCCCCAUGGGCUGAGAAUACUAGCUCCCAUGUGAAGAAGCAGGCUCAGGGGCCAGACUUCCAAGUGGUUGCAAUGAGAAAGGACUGGAUGCCAUGGCAAGAAAGAGGAGGGGAAAUCUGGGGCUUUGAGAAAAGCAGCAGCACCUCAUUAGUUUCACUGCAGUGAAGUGAACUCAGAGUCAAGAGGAUGGGGAAGGGGGAAUAAGGCUGAGGGGAAAUGAAGAAAGUGCACCACGGAGUGCAGGUAAGUAGGAGGUUCUUAGGCAGACAAACUUUGACAGAGAAUGACAUUGGUUCAAGGAAAUUUAAGGAAACCUGUCACUGGGCCUAGGUCAUUAGAACACUCCUAAUCACCAGGUAUGUUGACUGACUUCCUGGUGCAUGUGCUAGAGUAUGCUGAGGCUUCCAGACACUGCCGGCCACUAGGGAACCCUGCUGAUUCAUGGGACAAGUGGCACCAUCGAAGAUAUCCAAAAAGCAUCCAUUAGGUAAUAUGAAAAUCUUAGACAAGAAAAUACAUACUUGGGGAAAUAGGUUUUAUUUUUAUUACUUUUUUACUCUACUAACUGAAAGGUAGAAUUUGGAUUUUGAGUCAUAAGCUAUGGCAUAGGUAACAGAAGGAUGGUUUCAAGUAAAAAUGGAAUAUAGCCCAUUAAUGCUAAGAACACAUUUUCUCAGAUGAUAAUUGAUCUAAAAAGAGGACUUUAAGCCUGCUAAAGAGCAAAGAAAAUCUCCUGAGCUUAUAGAAAUAGCUACUAAGAACAACAGAAGGUAUGAAAUGGAAAGCCAAGCAAUGUUACAGGUGGAUAUACAGAGUAACUCAUGUAAGAAAACCAAGAGAUCCGGAGGCUGAGGGAGGAGGAUCGCUUGAGACCGGGAGUUCAAAGUUACAGUGAGCCAUGAUCAUGCCGCUGCACUCUAGCCUCGGUGACAGAGCGAGACCCUGUCUCUAAAACCAAAAACAAAAACUAAGAAGGGAGCUAGCUAGAAAAAAAUAUUUAUAUGCUCAGAUGCCUCUAUCCUAAUGUGCAUUGCUAAGAAUGUUAGUCUGGUGUUCUUAAAGGAGGGAGGAGCUGAAAUCCUUAAAUGUGACCCGUGCACCUCACACUGGGCAAAGGCAAGCUUCUACAUGGGAUGGGGAAAGGGCUGGUGUGGGUGUCCCAAAGGGGAAGUCGUGUCAAACUCUCCUUUUAAACUAGGUGACCUAAGUGACAAAUCACCGGAAUCAUGUUUUUGGACGUUGAGUUGUUUGACAGAAUUUUCUAUGAUCUUUGCAGAUAAUAUGCAGAAAUAAGGGUAGGAUGACAGUACAGUUUGUUGAAUGGCAGGUAAGUGACCAAUGAGCUGAAUAAAAGAACCCCAAGAGACGACACUCUAGAGGCUCUGUCCUCACUCUGUCCUCUGUAGAUGAAGACAGGGAAGGAGGGCUUGCCACCCCUGUAGAUGAUGUGAAGGUGGCAGAGGAAGUGAAUAUUUUAAAACCACAGGGUCAAGAUUAAAAACACAUACACACAAAACCUUAUAAGGUAAGAACAAUGAACUAUAAUAGGGAAGAAUGGAAAAUUCUGCCUUUGAAGCCUCAAAAUCAAAUGCAGGUACAGAAUGGGGAGAGGACGCUUAGCAUACACAAUCUGCAGAGGGGCUUAUAAAAAAUACAUGAAAUAAAUAAAUAAUAUAUUAGUUACCUAAAGAGCUAAUGUGAUCUGAGGUUGCCUAAACACAAGUAUGGUGUCUUCCUACUUGGGACCAAUGAAGAGAAACUGCUCAAAAUGAGGAGAGACAAUAAAGGGAAGCAAGACUGGAAUCUUAUUUGUUGCUAAUAUUGAGUCCUUAUAAUCUGACUCGCAGCUUCCUGGCUGUUUUACUUAACUUCUCUAUGCCUUAGUUUAAUCAUAUAUAAAAAAAAAUAGGAGUAGCUUCUUCAUGGGGUUGUUGCAAGGAUUAAAUCAGUUAAUAUACGUAAGUGAUUAGAACAGUGCCUGACACAUAAGACUGCAUUUUGUAAGUGCGUGCUCUUUUUAUUAAUGAUGGGGUAUUUUAUAAUUUAUAGAAUACUUUCAUCUACUUCAACCCAUCUGGUCCUGACAAAAACCUGUGAGGAGGGCAGAGGUUCGAUCAUCCUUUGCUUACAUUUGAAGAAACUAGAGCUCAGAGUGUGCAUUUUGCUCCCUGGGACAACGCCUGUCAGUAGAGACAGACUCAACCAAGUUCUUCUGACCGCCUGGCAGCCACGCUUUCUACCACACUGUGCUCCCUCAGGUCCUGGCUGCACAGGUGCAUGUUGGGGCCUCCUGGAGCUCUGGGGAUAACAGGCCCCACCAGGAGAACCCUUCACCAGCAGUUCUUCCUCUCCCUCUGAUUGGGCCGGGCUGGGUCUGAGGUAGUGGAAGGCUGUGGCUGAACUCUUUGGGUUUCACCCGUAGUGCCUUAAGACUUCUGGGGGGUGACAGGGGAGAAACAGUCAUAGAGAGGGGCCCCGUCACUAAAGCAGUUGUGGACCAGGGAGUAAAGGGAAUACCUAAAGUCAAGAAGAAAAGUGGAGGCUUGAAGAUGAGUAACAGGAAAGCUGGGGAGGGAGCAGGAGGAAGGACAGAAAAGGAAAUGGAGAGAAGUGCCACCAACAAAUCCUCCAGUUGCCACCCUGUGCAUUAAGCUACAUUCCGUUCACAGGAAUGUGAGAAGAGAGGGGAGUGGAGGGGGAGGCAGGGAAAGCAUGAGAGAGGAGCCAAUGCAGGACUAGAGAGAAUACCUUAUGGGUUCCAGAAGGCAGGUGGAACCCCAGGCUUCUACCUUAGGCCGUAAGACCACAUUCUGCCUCCUGAAUUUGGUAUCCUGUUGACAGUGUACAUUACAUGUGUGGGAGCUGACAGGAAAGUGGCCAGAAUAUAUCAGUCUUGAUUUCCUGAGAACACACAUCUCUGGCUAGUAGAAACUUUUCACUAAUACCUCAUUCUCUCCAGAAAACCUAGCUGGGGAAGCCAAUUACCAUGGAAUCUGGCCCACAAAAUAGAUAAAUAGAUAACUAAUAAAAUUUCCCGGCAUUCUGUUCUGACUUUUCCGGAGACUGGAAGUCCAGAAGCAGAGAACUGUUCAGUAGAAAGAGCAGAAUACAGUAGGGGUUCGGUUCCAUUUCACCAAGCUUGAUGGACCAGCUUAGGUUGCCCUCCUACCAAUGCCCCUGGGAGGAUCAUGAGGAUCAGAGCUCUUCAGAGCUCCUCUCUCUCCCAACAGAAGAGGGAUUCCUUAUUUUGCCAUCUUGGGUAGCAACAGUAGUGAGAACUUGGCUCCGGAGUUAAACCAAGACAAAGAGAGUCCAGGCCAGCCUUGCAAAUAUCAGCUCAU
rnacentral:lncRNA from 10 species